rnacentral:rRNA from 1 species
GACGAACGCUGGCGGCGUGCUUAACACAUGCAAGUCGAACGGAAAGGCCCUGCUUUUGUGGGGUGCUCGAGUGGCGAACGGGUGAGUAACACGUGAGUAACCUGCCCUUGACUUUGGGAUAACUUCAGGAAACUGGGGCUAAUACCGGAUAGGAGCUCCUGCUGCAUGGUGGGGGUUGGAAAGUUUCGGCGGUUGGGGAUGGACUCGCGGCUUAUCAGCUUGUUGGUGGGGUAGUGGCUUACCAAGGCUUUGACGGGUAGCCGGCCUGAGAGGGUGACCGGCCAAAGGGGGAAGGGAAAACGGCCAAGACCCACAGGGGGGGGAGGGGGGGGAAAUAUGACAAAAGGGGGGGAAGCUGGAGGGAAAAACGCCGGGGGGGGGAGGAGGGCCUUGGGGUUGAAAACCGGUUUGGCGGGGGAAGAAGGGGGGGGGAGGGAAAUGGGGAAAAAAGCACCGGAUAAAUACGG